UACGGAGGGUGCAAGCGUUAUCCGGAUUCACUGGGUUUAAAGGGUGCGUAGGCGGGCAGGUAAGUCAGUGGUGAAAUCUCCAAGCUUAACUUGGAACUGCCGUUGAUACUAUCUGUCUUGAAUACUGUGGAGGUGAGCGGAAUAUGUCAUGUAGCGGUGAAAUGACUUAGAUAUGACAUAGAACACCAAAUUGCGAAGGCAGCUCACUACACAGCCAUUGACGCUGAGGCACGAAAAGCGUGGGGAUCAAACAGG
rnacentral:rRNA from 1 species